GUCGUCAGCUCGUGUCGUGAGAUGUUGGGUUAAGUCCCGCAACGAGCGCAACCCUUGUGUUUAGUUGCAAACAGGUCAAGCUGUGCACUCUAGACAGACUGCCGUGGACGAACACGGAGGAAGGUGGGGAUGACGUCAAAUCAUCAUGCCCCUUAUGAUCUGGGCUACACACGUGCUACAAUGGCCGGUACAACGGGCAGCGAAGGAGCGAUCCGGAGCGAAUCCUAAAAAGCCGGUCCCAGUUCGGAUUGCAGGCUGAAACUCGCCUACAUGAAGUUGGAGUUGCUAGUAAUCGCGAAUCAGAAUGUCGCGGUGAAUGCGUUCCCGGGUCUU
rnacentral:rRNA from 1 species